GCCGAAGUAGCUCAGGGGGAGAGCAGUGCACUGAAGAUGCAAAGGUCACCGGUUCGAGACCGGUCUUUGGCA